rnacentral:lncRNA from 1 species
UUAAAAUAGUUUAAUGUGAUUUGCUCUAUCAUGGAUACGUUUGUCUUAGUGUAUUUUGCAUUACUUUUGUUGUAGAUUAAAUGGCACCAAGCAGCACUACACCGUUUGCUUUGCGUUCGGUCCUUGAGAAGGACAAGUUGAAUGGAACAAAUUACUCGGAUUGGAUCCGUAACCUAAGAAUUGUUCUUAGGGCUGAGAAAAAGGAAGAUGUUCUAGACAACCCACUACCAGAAGAAC